rnacentral:snoRNA from 1 species
AUUUGAUGAUGAGGACAUUCCUGAAUAUACUUCUGGAGACGUUCCCAUGCUUCGGGAAUGGUCUCUUCUGCCUUUUGACAGAAGCUGUAAAUUCUUGCCUGUAGAGCU